AUUGAACGCUGGCGGCAGGCUUAACACAUGCAAGUCGAACGGGGUGAUGGUGCUUGCACUAUCACUUAGCGGCGGACGGGUGAGUAAUGCUUAGGAAUCUGCCUAUUAGUGGGGGACAACAUCUCGAAAGGGAUGCUAAUACCGCAUACGUCCUACGGGAGAAAGCAGGGGAUCACUUGUGACCUUGCGCUAAUAGAUGAGCCUAAGUCGGAUUAGAUAGUUGGUGGGGUAAAGGCCUACCAAGGCGACGAUCUGUAGCGGGUCUGAGAGGAUGAUCCGCCAAACUGGGACUGAGGCACGGCCCAGACUCCUACGGGAGGCAGCAGUGGGGAAUAUUGGACAAUGGGCGCAAGCCUGAACCAGGCAAGCCGCGUGUGUGAAGAAGGCCUUAUGGUUGUAAAGCACUUUAAGCGAGGAGGAGGCUACUUUAGUUAAUACCUAGAGAUAGUGGACGUUACUCGCAGAAUAAGCACCGGCUAACUCUGUGCCAGCCGCCGCUGUAA
rnacentral:rRNA from 1 species